AGUGAACGCUGGCGGUAGGCCUAACACAUGCAAGUCGAACGGCAGCACAGUAAGAGCUUGCUCUUACGGGUGGCGAGUGGCGGACGGGUGAGGAAUACAUCGGAAUCUACUUUUUCGUGGGGGAUAACGUAGGGACACUUACGCUAAUACCGCAUACGACCUACGGGUGAAAGCAGUGGAUCUUCGGACCUUUCGCGAUUGAAUGAGCCGAUGUCGGAUUAGCUAGUUGGCGGGGUAAAGGCCCACCAAGGCGACGAUCCGUAGCUGGUCUGAGAGGAUGAUCAGCCACACUGGAACUGAGACACGGUCCAGACUCCUACGGGAGGCAGCAGUGGGGAAUAUUGGACAAUGGGCGCAAGCCUGAUCCAGCCAUACCGCGUGGGUGAAGAAGGCCUUCGGGUUGUAAAGCCCUUUUGUUGGGAAAGAAAAGCAGCAGGUUAAUACCCCGCUGUUCUGACGGUACCCAAAGAAUAAGCACCGGCUAACUUCGUG
rnacentral:rRNA from 1 species